UUGAAUAAUCACUGGAGUUAAUCAUUUGAAUGUAAAUUCAGUGUGUAGCUGGUUUUGUAACAACAGCAUUGGUUCUUCAUUCCCUCCAGACACCGAACGUAAAUCUGCUGCGCCGUUUGUAACUUGAAGAGUUUGUGUUUCGACUGUCAUGUUGUGAAGUGAGAAUCUCACUGUGAAAUAAGCCAAAUCCAUUCUUUUAUGUAUCGUGAUGGAACACAUUCCCCUGUAACAGUAUUCAUUUGGCGAAAAGAGCUCAUGAUCUGAAUGUGUUUACCAUUCCAGCCUUAACUAUCACAAAGUGAGUAUUUCUCAACUUUUUCUGUCAUGUCAGUGUUUUGUUGAUUCAUUUCAAAUGGUUAGUUCACUUCUGUCAUCAUUUACACACCAUUCAUGUCAUUCCAAAUCAAGAGUUCUUCUUUCUUCCAUGGAACAACAAAGGAGUGUUGGGGUGUCAAACUCCAGAAAUGACAACAUAGCCCUAUAAAAACAUGAAGAAGAAAAAACCCAGUCAUUAUAAAGCUGAUUUUAAAAUGA